GACGAACGCUGGCGGCGUGCCUAAUACAUGCAAGUAGAACGCUGAAGGAGGAGCUUGCUUCUCUGGAUGAGUUGCGAACGGGUGAGUAACGCGUAGGUAACCUGCCUGGUAGCGGGGGAUAACUAUUGGAAACGAUAGCUAAUACCGCAUAAUAGCAGUUGUUGCAUGACAACUGUUUGAAAGGUGCAAUUGCACCACUACCAGAUGGACCUGCGUUGUAUUAGCUAGUUGGUGGGGUAACGGCUCACCAAGGCGACGAUACAUAGCCGACCUGAGUGGGUGAUCGGCCACACUGGGACUGAGACACGGCCCAGACUCCUACGGGAGGCAGCAGUAGGGAAUCUUCGGCAAUGGACGGAAGUCUGACCGAGCAACGCCGCGUGAGUGAAGAAGGUUUUCGGAUCGUAAAGCUCUGUUGUAAGAGAAGAACGAGUGUGAGAGUGGAAAGUUCACACUGUGACGGUAUCUUACCAGAAAGGGACGGCUAACUACGUG
rnacentral:rRNA from 1 species